UGUUGUGCAUGAGCUUGGUGC
rnacentral:misc_RNA from 1 species